GCAUGAAGUCGGAAUUGCUGUAAUCGCGGAUCAGCAUGCCGCGGUGAAUACGUUCCCGGGCCUUGUACACACCGCCCGUCACACCAUGGGAGCCGGUAAUACCCGAAGUCAGUAGUCCAACCUCGUGAGGACGCUGCCGAAGGUAGGAUCGGCGACUGGGGUGAAGUCGUAACAAGGUAUC
rnacentral:rRNA from 1 species